rnacentral:rRNA from 1 species
GGGGGGGGGGGGGGGGGGGGGGGGGGGGGGGGGGGGGGGGGGGGGGGGGGGGUGGUGGUAGCGAGUGGAGGAGCGGGGAGCGGGUGGGUAGCGCGUGGGGAGUCUGCCGUGGAGCGGGGGACAACAUUUGGGAAGGAAUGGGAAGCCGGCGUAAAACGUUUAAACCCAGUUUUUAAGUUGGAAGGGUGCAAUGCCAUCCCUCAAGGAUGAUCCCGCGGUGUAUUAGCUGGUUGGUUAGGUAAAGGCUCACCAAGGCGAGGAUACAUAGCCGACCUGAGAGGGUGAGCGGCCACAUUGGGACUGAGACACGGCCCAAACUCCUACGGGAGGCAGCAGUAGGGAAUCUUCGGCAAUGGACGAAAGUCUGACCGAGCAACGCCGCGUGAGUGAAGAAGGUUUUCGGAUCGUAAAACUCUGUUGGUAGAGAAGAACGUUGGUGAGAGUGGAAAGCUCAUCAAGUGACGGUAACUACCCAGAAAGGGACGGCUAACUACGUG